CUAACUUAAGCUCUCCUGUCUUCUCGAAGGUAUUGGUGGGAAUCCAUGGGCUACUACAUUUUGAGAAAAAUAUAUAUGUUUACAAACAAAAGUGAAGAAGAAACGGAGAAGAAAAAGAAAGGGCAGAGGACUGCAGAGGAAGCGAGGCACAGCCCCGGGCAACCGUGUUGGCGGCCUCUAUCCUGAACCAGCCAUUCCUUCCUUUAUGGACGAUUGGGAUCACCUGUCACAUGUGGAAACCAGCAGCACAGAGGAGACAAGAAAGAAGAGCCUGCUGACCCUGGAAGAAAUGAAUGGUUCAGGGACCCAGGCACUGGCAAGUGACCUGGUAAAUUCCUUCUUGUUGGAGAGGAACCAGGAGACUGCACCAAGGACAAUCUGCCUUGAGGAUUUGUGAAGAGAUCUUCUGCAUAUAUUGGAGCCCCCCGAGGCUGGCUUGUUAAAGUAAUGUCUUCGGCUCCCCUGACAUCAAAUUCAUGUCCACUGUUUACUGGGAAAUAAUUGUGGUUUUCAGCACUGGCAAAUGGAUUCCUAUUUCUGAUGGGGGACAAUGGCCGGCGAACAUUGAACCUUGAGUUUCCCUCUGUACUUGAGCUGUGACCUAAAGGAGAUGACAUUGACAAGUCUACUGGAACAUCAUCUCUCAGAGCAAAAUGCAUUAAUGAUCCGGGGGUGUAAUAAGAUGAAUUCAUUGAUGAUCUUGAGGCUAUUGGUCUACCAGAAAGUAAGUGGUCAAGAGAAUUUCUGGAACCAUUUAAAUAGUCUUGCCAAUCUCUUUCGUAAUCAUGGAUACCAGGCCGGUUUUCCGUAGAAAUGCAAUCAUUAGGUACAUUUUCAGCAUUGACACCACCAUCUUGUUUGGGUUCAGAAUUGGUGUCCAAUGAAUGAAAGGUCUUUUGCUCUUUUUCACUUCCACCACCAACAUUGUCCUUAGACUCCGCAUCAGGGAGCUUGGGGUCCUGGAACAUUUUUUGCCCUACAGAAGAUUGCCUUGUAAGCAAUGGCUCCAUUGCAUUGCUUAUUCUUGAUGAGCCAUGACUGGGUUCGCCUCUUCUUAAAGAAUUACCUCUGCAAUGUUCAGCGUUUUCUUCAAAAUUUUUAUUUUUGGUCUGAGUAGCUGAUGUCCCAAGAAAUCGACUUCUCUUAUGGUUGGAGGGAGAACGGGGUGAGCGCAUGCCAACCAUAAGAAGUUCUUCUUCUAUACGGGUUUCCUCCUCAGUGUCAUCAUUUUCUCUUUCAGCAUUUAAUGAUAUAACAGAAAAGAAAUCUUCAUCUCGGAACCUAAAUGGCGCCCUUCUUGGCCCCGCUACAAUGGUGGGCAUGAGUGGUGGCCCCAAGGGCUCACUUAGCACUUGAGAACUCUUUGUUCCUUGGAAAGUCUGGGUUGGGGUUGAAUGUGGCUCAUUCUGGGAAAGAGCACUUGGGUCUCCUUUUUUGGCUCUCUCAAGGGGGUUCUCAGCCGCCAUCAUCAGUGGUGAGGAGGAGACUAAGUUUCUUCUCUCUCGGGUUGGCCUCUUUAGCUUAGUCUCGCCUGCCCAUAUUGGGGCUUCUUGUUGAACUACUGGAUCUGCAUGGACAAGAGACAAAUUUGUCAUGCUAUUAAAAGUACCCAUGGAUGAAAGUCCUUUGCACCAAGCAUGAGAAUCCUUUAAAGAUAAGAAAAAGCCCUGGAGAAGAAAAUGUGAAUGGCCAAAAUGGCAGAAGGUACAGGAGGAGCCCCACACAGCCAGCUUCUUCUGACUGCUUCUGGGUCCUCCUUUGUGCCCUGUGGAGUUCCGGCUGGUUCUAGGGAGAUAGGGUGCCCCUAAGCACAGAUUCUUUCUGCAGAAACUUCUAGAGGAAUGGCCCAGCUCCAGGCCAGUCAGAGGUGAGGAUGGAUAAUACUGGUUUUCAUUCUGUACGUAAUGAAGGAAAACCAGCACUCUGGCAACAACUUCUUUAAAAACGACAGGUCCUUUCUCACCCAAAUUCACCUGACAUACAUUUAUGACACUCCUCCUUCACACACAGCUUUUAAAAAAUGUAUUAAAAGUAUGUUCAUCUUGGCAGAUGGGGAGGAGGGCCCUAGAAUCCAGUGCCCAGGUACCCUGAAGAUUGUGGCCAUGCUUGCCACUUAGUGAAAAAUAAUGAUUUUAAAUUUCUCAAGAAAUCAUGAUCUUUAGUAAACUCAUAACCUCUGGUUAUCAUGGAUUCCCCAACGUCCCCCACCUGCCCGAUUUUACAGUAGGAGGAGAUAAAGUGCCCAAUGAGUAGGAAUUUUUAUUGGUGAGAUCACUUAUUCAAAACCUGCCUUAUACAAGUAAUGAGUAAGUGCUACUUAUUGAGGAUAUACGCUGAGCAGAACUACACCACCUGUAUCACACACACAUGUAAGCCUCACAGUUCUAUGAAAUAGGCUCCAUAAUCAUACCACAUUAUAACUGAGGACACCAAACCUCAGGGAGGUCACAUAGCUUGCCCAGGAUCGUAUUUCUAGAACGUGAUGGAGUGAACAUUUGAACCCAAGCCUGUUUGAUGUGAGGGUUUGUGUUCUUAACCACUGUCCUUAUUAUACCUUAGGAAACUGGCUGGACUUCCAAUUUCCUUGUGAAAACCAGGAUCCAGAGGAAUUCAUUGUGAUGUGUGUGUGUGUGUGUGUGUGUGUGUGUGUGUGUUGUGUGUGUGUGUGUGGUGGAGGGUUAUUCACCCUGAUGGCUGAAACUGGAAGUACUUCUCUGAUCCCAUUUCUCUUUUUUCCCCUCCUCAAGUGAGUCACCCCCACUCUGCCCUGCUCUCUGUUAUUCUGUGGGUCUGAUGAGACUCUGCUGUCCUUAUCACUUAGUCUCUAAAGCAGCUCAAAUGCCUGUCGAGUGGACAGGACUUUGUGGGGCCUUGGAAGGUCUGUGAUAACAGCUUUGCUGGGGAAAUGCAAAUCCUUGGAGCAGCCAGAGCAGCCAAGGGCCAAGUCAAUACCGACUUGCUUUAAUUGAGCUGCCUCGCAGGGGAGCCCCAGCUCCAGUCUCUCACGUCCUAAUACCCGGUAAGCUUCUUUUAUUGUUAACUGCAUAGGACACUCAGCCACACAGUGCGAAUCUUUACUCAUCAGCUCUUCCAAAAGUCAGUUAAACUCUCCUACCAGGCCCCUCAUGGGGUUUAUAAACCCCAGUAAGAGAUUUAUCAGUAAUUCAAGGACGCUUUGAGCAUCUGGCUGUGUGUGCACAGGAGUGCGGCGUGUGUGCCCACCCCACUGGGCUGAUCCACACUUUGGGAGACUCCUGCUUCUACAUAACCAACUGAAUUCUGAUCGUUUCUUUCUUUCUUUUGAGGAAAAAAAGUGAUAUGAAGGCAUCAAAGUACAGACUCUGAUGGAUUGGUUUUCGUUUUGAAUUUGAGGAAGGUCCCAGAAGCAGGCUCAUGGUGCUGGAACCCAAGUCUUAUGGUCAUUUCCAGAACUCACCUCCCGAGCUGGAGAGUGAGGGGCUGUGCCCACCCCCAUCCAUGCCCCUUCGGAUUUAGCCCAGGCCUCUGAGCAGGCAAGGGGAAGACACCUGGAGGGCUGGGAAUGAGCUGGGUGACUUCUGAAAACAAAGAGAGGAGACUCAACAGGAGCCAUGAGCUCAUUGCACGGAAGACACUGAGCUGGUGACAGGGGCCUCUGAAGCAGAAGUCCCAGACUCCCGCAGCUCCCAGACAGAACACACCAGGGACCACGUCUUCACCCUCCUUGUCACCACAACCGUCUCCUCUUUAAAAAUUCAAUCAGAGCUUCUCUGGUGUGUGUGUGUGUGUGUGUGUGUGUGUGUGUGUGUGUGUGUUUCCUAAAGGUGGCAGACUGCGGCAUUCUAUAUUUAUGCUAUUUUAACCCCAUUUUUUUUUGUGUCUAUCAAAGAGGGAGCAGACUUAGUGGCUGGGAAUAAACCCUGCACUUGGUAUGCCAGGGAUGUGCUAUUCAUAGCUCAGGCCGUGCAGCGCAGACACUGGAUGCUUCUCUGAGGCCUGCCUGGCCUCCAGCUGGGGCUGGAGGGCCUGCCACCACCAGGAGUUCCAGGCAUGUGGAAAUGAAACCGGAACAAGCGACCGUCUACCCUGAGAUGAAGCCUUUGGUCUGGACUUCCUCGUGUGCUUGACCAAUAGUGUCCUAAUUCCAACAGCCAUAUACUUUUCAUUUGUUUUUUCCCUUCUGGUUAUAAAAGUGGCCCAUGAUCACUGGAGAAAAUAGAGAAGAGGAUGAACUAAUCCAAGUCUGCCCAUGACUCAUGGCUCAGGUGACCGUUUGCUCAUGUUCUGGACUUUGGGGAGUUGCAGACUAAAGACCCCAGGUUAUUUUCAUCCUGCAAUAGUGCUUUGGCUCAGCAUUUGAACAAUGAAUUGAACGUCUUCAGAUGGAAGCAUGUACAGUGUGGCAUACCUCAUAAUCCGCUAUGUCUCUCCCCUGCCAUACCCACCUAGUCCCUGAAGGCAUUUGAAUUUACAGCCCAGGGCUCCCUUAUCUAGAGGUAGUCUUUUAAGAAAAACAAAACUGGUAUGUUUCUGUAUACCCGAAUGUAUGUCCUGCUUUCUUUCCCUAAACAUUUUAUUGUAUGCAUUAUCUCAUGUCAUUAUUCCUUAAUUAUAUUAUCAUA